CCAGAGAUCAGCCACUGGUGAGGGAGGGGCCUUGGCUCCCUAGCGCCUCCCAGAGAAGCUUGGUUUGGCUUUCAAGGUCUAGGGCCUCUCCCUUUCACCCCCUCCCACCACUCUAGAACUCCGGUAAGGGCCCCAAUCUCCAUCCCCUGAGAGGCCACACUGGGCCAAGGAGCCUCAUUGGGAUUUCUGCCAAGGCCUCCUGACUCGUCUCCCUGCUUUGAGCUGCAUUUUGUGCUGUCCUUAAAAGCAAAGGUUGUGUCACUGCCUGGCACACAGCAGGCAUUUCAUAAAUGUUUCCCAAGUGAUUUUCCAGAAGCUCCCACUGACUUGAAUCACUCCCCUGAGCCUCCUGGCCUUCCCUCCCCAUCCUGCCUUUCUCUGCUCCUCACACACAGAGAGCUCCCUCGACCACCUCCAUGUUGCUGCAAGGCCUUCCCUCCUCACCUCCGGCUCAAAGAAUCCCUCUCUUCCUUCAGAAUCCCACCCCCCAAGUGUUUGUGCAGUGGUGCUGGGGUGGUCCUACAUGGGCCUCUGAGACCCUUGAGAUCAAACCAUUUUGAAUACAUAAAGACAUUUAAAUUCUAUUACAAUACCGAGAGACAUAACCCACACAAACAAAUGCUCUUUGAGGGAGGGUCCUCAAUUUUAUUUAAGAGUAUAAAGGGACCCAGGGACUAAAAAGUUUGAGCAGUAUUUUUCUCCCUAGCUCUGUGGAAGACUUCAAAUAAUGACUUGGACUAGUAAGGGGUCCCUCCUGAGCUGUAAGGGGGCCUCCCUUCUAGAACACCCUCACGUCCUAGUCAUUAUUUGCAUUUAUUUAGUACACACUUCUUUUCUAACCCUCCUGCCAAACACAUUCUUGUUUGCAUUUAUCAAAGGCCACUCUCGAAGAGGACAAAAAUGGCACCACUACAUCAGGAUCCAGACCGAAAUGACAGCACGGGGUCGGGGUCGAGGUCCACAGGGUCUGACUGGCUAAUCAGACUCAUAAGAGCUGGGAUGCUCUGCCACAGGAGGCACACAAAUAGUCCCUACAAACAUUCGGCUGGCUUCUCUCCUAAUUCACUUCUGCUUUGCUCUUAGAGCCCGGCACCUUGUCUGGCAAGGGCCGUCAUACAAUCAGUCCAAAAGUUCUUCAGAGAGCCCUCGAGUGUCCUGGCGGCACUUUUCUGACCACCUUGUGAGCGCUGGCCAUGUGUCAGUUCUUCAGAAAAGAACAGUGUGGCUGCCCCCAUGGAGCUGUGCAGGGGAGGCGGGACGCUUGGCGCUCUGUGGAGGAAAGGACCUCGGCGUGGGUCACCUUCUCCUGCCAGGUGAUCUCGGCCAAGACCAUUCAAACGGAAGCAAAGAGAUUUCUCGGCAAGGCGCCGGUGGCCUGGCCAGGUUUCACAGGCACAGCGCCCGCUAGCUCUUCAGUCGGGUGGUCAGUCUAAUCCCUCUGCUCUCCCACACUUUUCUUCGGAACCUCCCAGACUCCAAGCGACCUCUGGCACCACGUGCGUCGAUCUCAUUAUCCGUGUGGACACCCCUGGAAAGUGCUGCAGGCGAGGGAGCCGAUCCCCAGCACUCCCGGCUUCCCCACUUACCGGACCCAGGGUCCCCGCACGGACCGCGUGGUGCUGGCUGGUGCAGGACCUGGGUUUUCGGGUGUUAAUUGCAGAGGAAAGGAGGCCCUUGGGCCAAAUGUCUAAUUUUUUCUGCUUCUCAAGAACAGAAGUAUUUGUAACCCUACAAGUUGGCACAAAGCAGGUGUUUUUAAGAAAUACUGUGUACCGAGAACAGGCCCCUGCGGCGGGCAGGCACUUAAUGCUCACGGAUGGGCGGGGCACACACUAGGCGCUUCAUCCUGGCUCCAGAAUUUAAUGACCUAAACCACCGGGUGGGUCUUCAUCCUCCCAGCCAGCCUGAGGGUCUUCAGAAGCUUCCCACAAGGAUUCGCCACCAUUGGGGGGCGGCCCCAGGACGUACUCCUCCCGUUUCAGCCUCUCCUCCCACUCAUUAAGCGCCUGCCCAGGGGCUCCUCCCUCAGGGCGCCUCGGCAAGGCCCGGGAAGAUCAGGCUCCUCCCAGCUGGGAGGUCCGAGGUCAGUCACCCAGCCUGGUUGCCUCAGUUUCCUCAUCUGUAAGCGGGGCUCGGGAAGGAGAUGGCCAACCCUGCAGUCCCUUUGCCAAGGAAACCCCAAAUGGGAUCGGGGAGCCGGGAAACCGAGGGGACAGCGGCCACAACCUCUCCUGGGUGGGGGCAGGAGGGGACGCUCCGCACAGCGACCCCACCAUCUGAAGACCCCUUGGAGUUUUCAGGUUCGGGACAACCGGUGCUUAGACUGUCACCUAGGAAGGUCUCGGUGCCGACUGGCGCCACCUGGCGGUCACGUGGGGACUGAGGCUAGGGCUGAAUUAAGAGUCUAAAGUGCUUCCGACGCCAGGGGGCGUGCGAGCAGAAGCCCUGGUGCCGGAGGUGACGUCACACCCCGGCUCCCAGGUCCUAGGACCUCCUCCUCCCCCGCCCUCACCUGGUGUCAGAACCAACUCCGGGGAGGGCACCGCCCUCAGGACUCCACUUCCCAGCGGCCCCCACGGAAGCCUCUGCCACCUGGGCUGGCCCCGCUGUCAGGCCCAGCCUCCCCAAGUCCCGACGCUGGACUCACCGCCUCCUGAGACGUCGCACGGAGCCCCGCCGCCGUCGCGAACGGACACUGACCCCGUGCCCUGGACCGGAGGAUCGGGCACUUCCGAUUUUUUACGUCACUUCCGGGAGCUUUGUCCUCGCCCCAUAACCUGUCUCUAUGGCAACGCAUUUCUAACAGGGGAGGCCGCAGCGUGUGUGUGCCGCUCGGGCCCAGCGCCUGAUGGGAGAUGUAGUUCGGCUUGGAGGGAUGGCCUCCUGCCCCCUGACUUAGGCUACUCGGCCCUCCCCCCAUAUUGUCCACCUGCCAAGUGACCCCCCGCGCAGAACUUUCUCCAGAGCUACCACCUCUGGUCUGGGGCACUCAGCCCUGCCUAACUGCGGGGGCUGCCCAUGAAUAAAUGCUCCAGGGAGAGCCCUGGGCUUGAGGUCUCUAAGUUAAAUGCAAGCGGGGCAAGCCGGCUCAUAGUUUGCCUCAGUUUCCUCAUCUGUAAAAUGAGUUGGAGGAGGAAUUGGCCAACCAUCAAGAAAACCCCCAAUGGGGUCACAAGGAGCGGGGCAAGACCAAAAAGCACCCCAGAGGCAGCCACCCAGAACUCCCUCCCACCCCACCCCCACCUGGGGUGGCUCUGAAUCAGGAGAGCCCCAGCAGCGGCAGGCAAGCAGAACGAGGCCUUGCUCUGGUCAUCCCUGGACCUCCUCAGCGCUGUCCCCUUAAGCCUGAACCCACUCUCCUUCAGAUGCCAGAGCGUGCCCGUCAUGGUUUUACAGAGUCGGGCCUCUGGCUGACUGUUCAUAAGCAGCACAGGUGGGGGCUUAGGACAGAGGAUCCAAGUCACUGGUUGCCUUCUGGGGGUCCUGCACCAGCAUCCAUUUCCUUGGUGAGGGUUCUGUGUUGGGGGACCACAGGGUAGAGAGGGGACCUCGGGAUCUCAAAGGGCGCGUCGGCGGAGCAGCCCCACUGGCCCUGCAGCCGAUGCCGUCCAUCUGUCAGGUUCGGAGAGGCUCUUGGCAGGCUGGCGGCCCUUGGGCGAUGACUGGGGCCAACUCUGCACGCCAGGCCAGAAACCCAGACAGCGCCCGGCAGUAGUGAGGGAAGCAUGAAUUAGGGAUCCACACUGUGCGCCAGGACCCCACUAAGCACUGGGAACACGCAGAAUCCUGGCCGCAGGGAUCUCAUGGGGAUGGCGCGUCCCAAUACAGGCCUCACAUUUCCUUCUGCCCGGCUAAAGCGUCCUUUGUGCGGAGGUGAAAGUCGUGGCGUUUCAAAACAAAAAAAAGAUGGGGCUGAAAGUCUGCCAUCUUGGGCUUUUUGACAAAAAAAAAAGAAAGGCAGGAAAACCUAGUUUUCCUUAGACUGAUAGAUUUGAGUGGAUUUGGAAUAGGUUGGAGUAGUUAUUAUUAGGGGCUCAUUUUUUUCUUUUUCAGAUUUUAAUGUAUUGAUGUUUUAAUAAAGAAUGAAAUAAAUA